rnacentral:lncRNA from 1 species
CCCAACACCGCUGGACCCCAAGGUCUCAAGUCCUACCCUUUCACAGGAGUGAGGGUGGACAGCUGGACAGUGUGGCCUCCCAAGUGGCCGUGGGAAGGGGAGAUGCUGUCUGCUCCUCUCACUCUUCCGCCCGCUGUGAAAUCCACAUCAGCUGGAGAUGCCCACGAGGCCUGUUUCCAUCUGUUCUGGUUCUGGCUGGUGAGAAAGCCUCAGAAUUGAAGAGGCCAGUGUGGGGGUGGGGACAGGAAGGACCACUGCAAAGGCAUGCUCAGCCCUGGGAACAGCUGCCCUGGAGGCUCCCCACUUCCCAGCAGCUCUCAAAUCACCCGUUUUGUAGCCAGGCUGCUAAUGAUGCAAUUAAGUUCAUCAGGAGAACAUCUGUUCUGAAUGAUCGGACCAUUGGCUACCCUCUGAGGGAGACUCACCAGAGUCACAGGACUCAAGCAACUAAACAACCAGGAGCCAAAGGCCUCAAAACCAUCCCUACAGACUUUAUCAGCCCUCUCCAAACUAAGCCACAAGUGUCCUCUGAGCCUCCGCCAGCAUCUGAGGACAGAGCUGUGCAUCAGGAGCAGAAGCAGGUCGUCUGUGUUGUUGGUGCUCAUCCACAAGACGGAGGUAAGCUCAGCAGCGGCCCAGAGCAGGAUGGCAGGAUGUCAAGUGACCAAAGGGCUUUUUCACUGCUGGAAAGAUGGUACUUUCCAUUCUCACUCCUGCAGCCUCUAUACCCCGUCUCUGGGAUCCCUAGGUCACCUGAAUGCAAGAGCUUCAUUCUCUCCCAAAAGAGCCUUUGUGGGUGGGUGACCAAGAAGGGCCAUCCUCCUGUCUUCCCAAAUGCUGUCAUUCAUUCUCAUACGUCCUUUCCGGGGACAUCAUGCUUCUCAGCCCACGGCCCCCCUCAGUCCUUGCGCCUCACACCUGCAACUAAACUUUGAAAGGAAGCAGAGCACAAGCAUGUUGGCCUGUGUGUGUUCAUCUGUGUGAGCCAUGGCUUGUCUGUCGCUCUCUCUUUCCCGUCACCAUGUGUCCCGGGAUUCAGCCUGGAAUGAGAAGCUGUCCUCAAAGAGCUUCCAAUCCACAGGCGCAGCGGGUGAAAAGCAAUCCACUUCUGUCCUGAGAAACCAAGGCACAGGAACUGAGUGGUCGGAGAACACUGGUAUUUCAGCUGAGUUAAAACAUGGAAGUCCAGAGACUGGAGGAUGCGAGUGAAACUCUCCUGCACAAGGCCUCCAAAGCCCAGCUGUUCGAUUGCUCUAUGUCCUUGAACAAGCCACAUACCCUCUACUUUUUAAAUUUUGUAUGUUUUGUUUUUCAAGACAGGUUUUGUGUGUGUGUGUGUGUGUGUGUGUGUGUGUGUGUGUGUGUGUGUGUGUAGCCUGGGCUGUCCUGGAGCUAGCUUUGUAGACCAGGCUGACCUCAAACUCACAGAAAUCCACCUGCCUCUGCCUCUGAGUGCUGGAAUCAAGGCAUGUGUCACCACCACCCAUCCCCCUUUACACUUUUUAAAAUUUGGGUAUAAAUUUUAAAACACAAUAAGACACAGAAAAUAAUUGGAAAAAGUCAACUUAAAGUUGCAAAGGAUAAUAAUAGAGAAUGUCUGUAGAUGUUGUACCCAUCUGACAUUGUGGUAACAUUUUACCCCAUGUGCUAGAUCGGCUUUGUGUCAUCUUUCUUACUCUCUACAUAAAUGUCAUUCUCUCUAUGUUUGUGGGAGAUGAGUACCAAGAUCAUGAGUGUGCAAGUGCCUUGUACAUGCAAGAUAGCACAGGAGCCUGGUGAGUGGAGGAUGUCUGGAGUCCCUCUAUCCCCAAAGCAAAAGCUUGAACUCUGACAUUUGAGACCAACUCAGACAUCAAUUUCCUGUCUCAAAAUAUA